CCAACAGGUUCUUCUACACCAAACUCUUCAAGAGAUGCUCAGUCGCUUGAUGUAGAAAUGUCAUCUUUGAGCCAGGCACAUCAGUGCAGUGUUGCAGAGGGCGCCCACACUUUUGCCGCAGAUGAUGCUGCAGAAAUGGCCAAAAAGAUAGUCCAGGAGGCUCUGGAGAAAAAUGCUGGCGGAGAAGAUGUAAUAGAGGAGUAUAGAAGAUCCAAGACCUUGACACACAACACAAGAAGACAUCUUGUGAAUAUCCUUGUCAGCCACAUGGUUGAAAAACAUGGAAUCCCAGUUCGAAUGCAAAGAGAAAAAUACGGACUUGGCAUUGUGACCCUGUUUCCAAAUCUCAGCGAUCCUUUCUCCACCAAAGGCUAUGAACACUUCUAUGAUGGUGCAAGUGGAACUGGCUAUCUGGCAUGGUGCCUAAAAACUGUGCAGAGAAAAGUUACAAAAAGGUCGGAGAACAGCCCUCAAGGAGCCUUGCAGGGAGGACCCAGCCUGAAGAGGAGUUUCACAGCAGAGCAACAGGCAGAUGGUGAUGCAGUCAGAGAAGCCAUAUUGUUACUUCUACAUUCCAGUGAUGAUUCAGUGAUCCGCAGCAAGAUGAGGGAGACGUUUCAGCAUCGUCAUCAGCUUGUCCAUAAUCCAGAGAUGACCACUGAAGUCCUAAAAAUGUAUCCAAGAUUUUUGGAUGUGAAGGGAUUGAUAAAUCAAGAUUUCACACUCCUGUUUGGAGCGGAAACCUCCUCCAAGUUAUUAGAGAAGUGGGACUCCACCUUCAAAUGCAAAAUCAUUGAAGAAGCAAGAUGCUUGACUCAGACUCACACUGUACGCCACCUUCUGAUGUCUGCAGAGAACCAAGACGCUGAACCAAGCGCUGAAUGGGACACGGAUAUAGCUACUCUACUGCUCUUAAUACACCUCCUCCCACCACAACCUGUCGGCAAGAAGGCUGUGAAGAUCAGUGCAGAUGCUGCAUCUGAAAGGCUCAUUGUUUAUCACAAGGAAAGCAGGUGCUGUUUUAGCUGUGUUUAAAGGAGCAUUUCACCGGUG
ensembl:lncRNA